UCCUCUCCCCUUGCCUUUUCUAUUACUGGCAGGAUUUAAGCCCAGAGGAAGCUUAAAAGGAGGGUGGGCGGGGGCUGUUCUCUUCCGCUGUGCCCCCCGCCCCUGGUUUCCAAAACCCAGGUGGAGAAUCUGUUGCAUUUUCUGGACCAUGGCAGUUUCCUGGGGCUCAUCAUUCUCUCACCUGCUGCCAGACACCCUGGGCACAGCUGUUACCCCUCUUCUCCUGCCGGGAACGUCAAAAAGGAUAUUGUGGAGAUGGAAAAGGUUCAGAAGAGGGCAACCAAAACUAUCAAGGGGAUGGAGAGACUCUCCUAUGAAGAAUAGUUGCAGCAUUUGAAAACAGGUUGUAGUGCAAAUAAAAAACCCGGUUGCGACAUAUGAAGAAAUCUUGCAGUUUUUCGGACUUUUAAACUUAAAGAAAAGGUGAGGACCAAAACCAAUGGAUUCAAAUUGCAAGAAAGGAGAUUCUGACUAAAUACUAGGAAGAACUUUUUGAGGGUAAGAGCUGUUCAAUAGCAGAACACACAAGCUCAGGAGGUCAUGGACUCUCCUCCUUAGAGGAUUUUAAGCAGACGUCAGAUGGCCGGCCACCUGUCAGGUAUUCAUGAGAUGUGAUUUCUGCAUUGCAGGGGGUUGGGCUAGAUGACUCUUGGGGUCCUUUCCAACUCUUGGCUGCCCUCCUCUGCACAGCUUGUCAGUAUCCUCCUUAAAUCGGGGUGCCCAGAACUGUACAUAGGACUCCAGGUGGUGUGGGGCCAAGGCAGAAUAGGUUGCUAUUCGUUCCCUUCAUAUGGACACUAAACUUUUGUUGAUCAAGCCUAGGAUUGCAUGAGCCUUUUUUGCUGCUGCAUCACACUGUUGACUCAUGUGAAGCUUGUGGUCUCUACUAAGACCACCAGAUCCUUCCCACCUGUGCUGCUGUCAAGGGAGGUAUCCCCCAUCAUAUAGUUGUUCAUCUGAUUAUUUCUGCCUAAG